rnacentral:pre_miRNA from 15 species
CAUUUCCUUAUAAAUCUAGCCUCUACUAGGCUUUGUCUGUGCAUUUGAUAUAAGAUCAGACAUAGCCUAUGAGAGGUUAGGUGUAGCAAGGGGUC